ensembl:lncRNA
GAGCAACGAUAACUGCGACCACAGAGGUGGCUGUCCCUAUACUCAGGCUUGUUGCCUGAGGCCCCCUUAUCAGCUCUGCUGGCAGAACUGGGAGCUCGCUGGGAUCUGGAAUACUCCUUCCAGUGUGAACUUGGUGUAGUCUGAGGAGACAGCUUUACAGAUGUGCACAAUGCAGCAGAAGUUACUGUGCACUGCUUGAUGCAGGACACAGCAUGGGUAAAAGCAGCAGCAGCAGCGGCAGCCUCUGCAUCUCCUUGGCCCCAGUGCUACAGCCCAGGACUUCACUGGGAGCUCUGUCCCCAUCGGGAGCGUUCCCUCCCUAUGGAACGUGUGGUAAUAGAUACUUUUGUGCAAGAUUUGAGCAGUAGAAACGGAUGCUGGAAACCUUGUGCUUUUGUUACACCGGGACAUUCUUCCUGCAGACCGUGAAUUGAACUUGAUUGCAUUUCUGCAACUGGAAAAUUCAAUAAACGCGGGUUCCCAGGUGGACACCGUAUCCUGCAGUCCAGGGGACACACUGCUGCUCUGCAUGGUGAGAAGAGGAGGUCGGGGAAGUGCACGGAGAAAGGAAUAUCGAGCAGGCUGGCCUCUGGGAUCGGCUGUUCUUACACCAGGCUGCACCAUUGCUCACAGCGGCAAGACCCACUGGGCCUGCACGCAGCUCAGGCUCUCUGUGCAAGGCCCUGCUCUGCAAAUGCAGCCCAAAAACAGCAGGCGGAUGCUAAGGGCAGGCUGGGCAGCAUUUUGGGAGGCCCAGGACAGCUCCCUGUGGUUUGGGUGCAACUCCCCCUUUGCAGAAGCAUAGGCUUCUUCCUCUGGGCAUUUAGGGGGAGAAAGCCUCCCAUGAGCUGUCCUCAUUGAUGGGCAGUUUUUUUUGCUGCUGGGUCACCUG